rnacentral:lncRNA from 1 species
AGAAAAUGAAAAAAUUGGUUUGCAAAUAUUUAAUAUUCCAAAAUUUAAAACCAAACUACAGUAAAGGCUAAUCAAAUCAUUUAUAUGUCACAAAAACAUUUUAGUAAGAAUUAUGUUUAAGUGAUACAUAUUGUGAAUUUCUUGUUUUUUAAAAAAAAUGUUUUAAAGGCCUAAGCAUAUUGCACCAGAAAUGGUCCAUAUGCUUUCUUUAUAAGGAGUUUCUUAGAUUAACACAACAUAUGUUUACUGAGUACUCUAUUUGCAAACUUUUCUGGAUUUUUAAAGAUAUAAAGAUAAAGAGAGUGCAUUUUUUGCCCUCAAUGAGCUCAUAUAUUGUAGAAGAAAUUAGUUAAAAGUGUAUAUAGACAUAAAUGAAAGAUACCUCAAUAUUGAUAAAUGCACAUAAAAUAAUAUGAUAACUCAUAGAUGGGAAGGAUAAUUUUAGACUGAUAUUUUCUGCUAUCAUAUCUUUUAUUUAGGUGAUACGGAAAAGUUAAUUAAAUCUUAAAAUCUCCCAAAUGCACAGGUGUUUCUAUUAAUUGGUGCCUAUCCAACACGUCAAUACCUGUCAGUGGCUUGAUUUUAUUCACCAAGAGAUAGCAGAGGACAUAUUGCUUGCUUCCCAGCAUUUCUCUGGCAGCAGUAGCAUAUACACCAACACCACUGCAAGUUCUACUGAAGGUCAACAAGAUAGUUAUAGAAAGAUCAAGGCUUAGAUGCAACUAGAUGAAGGACUCCAAUGAAGAUGUGAUUUCUUUUCUUUAUCCAAUGCAACAGCAAUCAUGCCCAGCAUUUUCUCUUUGGAAGUUUUCUGUGUUCUAAUGCUGAUGACAAGAAACAGACAAGUUAUACUUUCAAAGACAUGAGGUACCUGUGGAGUCUAAGAAGACUAGCAGGGCCACAUGGUUUGGACUCCACUUCACUGCAACUGGUGGAGAAAUAUGUCACCAUAGAAAGAGCAGCACUGAAAGUGGGACAUCCAUUGUGCAUGUUCAUUUUCUCAAGGAUAAAGUUUUUGCAUUGGCUAUUGCCCAAUGCUGUAAUACAGCACAUAUAUUUAUACAUAUCUG